rnacentral:lncRNA from 1 species
ACUUGAACCCAGGAGGUGGAGGUUUCAGUGAGCUGAGAUCGCACCACUGCACUUCAGCCUGGGCAACAGGGCAAGACUGUCUCAAAAAAAAGAGUCACCAGAGAGCUUGCUCCUCCCUGCCUUUGGGAACUGCCCCCACAGUCAUUGACGCAGUCACUCAGGAGAUCACCUUCCCAAUUGCAUUUUAGAAGGAAGUGGCAGAUUCAUGAUGCAGAAGGGAGGAGAGAAGGCAGGAGGUGAAGGAGAUGGCACAGGCAGAGGUACAGAGUGGUGACUGAAACCACACGCCAUGUUGGGAGACUUCCAAACAAGUCUAGAGAGUUGGCACUUAGGGAUGAAGAAAUCAUCUUCUGAGGAAAGAGAAUUAACUUGGGAGCAGGACACAAGAGUUCCAGCCUCAGCUUGCUUCUCAGGAGCUGUGUGACCUUGGGGAAAUUCCCUUUCUUCUUUGGAGCAAUUUUCCUACUGGCAAAAUGAAGGGGUGGAACCAGAUAAUCUCCAACAUCCUCCGUUGCUGAGAUGGAAUAUCACUGUAUGCACCUUGAUGAAAACUGCAUUGUAAAUUUCAUUUACUUAUUAGACUGUUAAAACAAGUAUGGCUGAAAACAAAAUGCAUAUUGUACUCAAUGUAAGGGUAAUGGUGUGCGUUCUAAUUAUCUACUCAAGCAAUGUAACCAUAGUUAAAUUUAUGAUGAGAAUAGCACAUACAUUGGGCUGAGCAGGUUGUAGUAAAUUAAAACUUACAACUGCCCUUUACAUUAAUUUAAAGGCAUUCCUCUGCCACUAGCCAUGUGGAACUCUUAUCAGCAUAUGAAUGAGGUCCAUUAGCAUAACAAAAGCUGUAUCACAUAAUGUCAAAAUCCUGUGCUAGACAUCUAACCUUGUACACACUGCACUGUAUCUAAGGAUAAAUUCAUGUUUAUUGUCCCUGGCACUAGCCCAGAUUCCCUUCUAUCUGUAACUGAAUCUGAAAGGGCAGAGCAAAAGGCUAGGAAAACUUUUAAUUUCUUCUUUCAUGAAGACCAGAGAUACCCAUGGCUGGCAUGGGUGUGUUGUCCCCCCACUGAAGUUCAUCCUAAUAUUUUUAAAUUUCUAGACCAACUCAUUGGUCACUUGAAGGAUUGUCCUCUUUCCAAAUAAAAAUUAACAAAGAAUUUUAUUACAGUCAAAUUGCCAAAUGUAUUUUAGAUGUGAUUCAGUAUCUAGGAAACUUAACAUAUACCCAAAUUUUCAGGAAUGUUAUUACGUAAAUAACAAUAAAAGCUAACUUUUUGAGUCUAUACAAGCUGGCAGAACCUGCAUUACUAACACUACUAAAAUUCUUUCUAUUUCUUCUAAUUAACCUGAAAGUUAGAUGUCAUCUCCUGUCUAUAGAUAAAGUUCAAGGAAGUUGUCACUUGUUGAAGGUCAGACAUAACUAAGUAUUCACAGCUGUACCCAUUUGACUCCAAAGUGUGGAGUCCUAAUUAGGGAAAGAAAGUCAGACUGGCAGGGACACAGAAAAGCAAAAAGAAGAAGCAGAUCAGCUAUUAUGUUUGCGUUUCUUCAUGGUCCAGGACACAUAGCCCUCUUGCACAAAUAACUCACAAUCUUCCUGCACCCAACUAUCACCAAACAUCUCCAUGUUAGCUCACUGCCACCUUGGCAUUAUCGGUACUGCACAAAGCCCUCUUCAGCAUGCAUCAUAAACACUCUUCUAUACAAUCUCCACUUCUCUUCUGCUGACCCUACCCAUUGCCUACUCGCAACAUUUUCUCACUUUCUUUAACAAAUCUCCCUUUUUCUACCUAUAACUCUCUUGUUAAAUUCUUUUACCCCCGCACCCUGGGCCUAGAUAGUUGUUGCUCUCCGUGACAAAAAGCACAUAAUUAUUCUACUCUGACCUGCUACUAUAAAAUAAAGUCUACAGUACUGUCCAACAAUAUAUCAUUCACCUGAAUCAUUCCUAAUUGUAAAAGAGAUAAGUAGCUUUUACUGCUUCCAAGUUGAGUGUACACUCUCUUUGUUUUUGCUUUGAAUGGCUAUAAUUAGUGACAUACGUUUUUGGACUAUAAUUAAAGGUGUGAUAGCCUGGAAAAUUUCAAGACAAAGAGUUCUAGUUUUUCCAAGGCUUUUUUUUAAAUAAUUAAAUACUUUUGGAUUUUUAAUGUUUUUAUAAUGCUGACUAAAACAUUUAAGAUUUAUUAAUAAAACAUUUACAUUUAUUAAUGUGAUAUCUUUAAGUUAUUUCUAAUAUUUAUGUAAUAAAAAUAGUUCUAUAUAAAACUCUACAGCAGACUUGGCAUUGGGACUAGACUGUUUUUUUUCUAAGUGACUUGGGGUAAAAUAAGUAGUUUGAUAACUCAGCUGUGGACCUAUAUACAGGAAAAAGAAAAAGAAAUGUGAAUUGUACAGGCCUGCAAUACCUUCUCCAUAAUCUCAAAAUCCUUAAGUAUAAAAAAACCUAAGACCAAGCCAAGAAUAUUCCUCUCUUUGCAGAAGAAAUUUUAAUGGAUUUAGGAUAAGUGUUACCACCAGAUCCUUUUGGGGUGGUAAUGAGAUAUGGACAUAUUGUGCUUCUAAAAUCUACAUUCAAUACAGAUGGCCAGUGUAAACAAUAAGAUACUGCAGAAAUGAUGGUUUGUUACUUCUGAAAUGAUGUCAUAAGAAACAUUGCUGCUCUGCACCCCUCUUUCUCAG